CUCAGAGCGAACGCUGGCGGCAGGCCUAACACAUGCAAGUCGAGCGCCCAGCAAUGGGAGCGGCAGACGGGUGAGUAACACGUGGGGAUCUACCCAAUGGUACGGAAUAACCCAGGGAAACUUGGAUUAAUACCGUAUGUGCCCUUCGGGGGAAAGAUUUAUCGCCAUUGGAUGAACCCGCGUCGGAUUAGCUAGUUGGUGAGGUAAAGGCUCACCAAGGCGACGAUCCGUAGCUGGUCUGAGAGGAUGAUCAGCCACACUGGGACUGAGACACGGCCCAGACUCCUACGGGAGGCAGCAGUGGGGAAUAUUGGACAAUGGGCGCAAGCCUGAUCCAGCCAUGCCGCGUGAGUGAUGAAGGCCUUAGGGUUGUAAAGCUCUUUCGCCGGUGAAGAUAAUGACGG
rnacentral:rRNA from 1 species